GUCCACGCCGUAAACGAUGCACACUCGCUGUCGGGUUCGCUACAGAACUCGGUGGCUUAGCUAACGCGGUAAGUGUGCCGCCUGGGGAUUACGGCCGCAAGGUUAAAACUCAAAGGAAUUGACGGGGACCCGCACAAGUGGUGGAGCAUGUCCAUUAAUUCGAAGAUACGCGAAGAACCUUACCAAGCCUUGACAUCCUGGUAGACUUUCCCUGAAAGGGGAGGGGCAUUUAGUUGGACCAGUGACAGGUGUUGCAUGGCUGUCGU
rnacentral:rRNA from 1 species